AAAGAAGUAAUAAAAUUUUACAUUUAGUUUCGACCUAAAUAUUAAGGAAAAUAUCCUCUUGUUUU
rnacentral:tRNA from 1 species